AAGGUGAUGACCUGCUACAAUUUU
rnacentral:miRNA from 1 species